rnacentral:rRNA from 1 species
UACAGAGGUGGCAAGCGUUGUUCGGAAUUACUGGGCGUAAAGGGCGCGUAGGCGGCCUUCUAAGUCAGACGUGAAAUCCCCCGGCUUAACCUGGGAACUGCGUCUGAUACUGGGAGGCUUGAGUAUGGGAGAGGGAUGUAGAAUUCCAGGUGUAGCGGUGAAAUGCGUAGAUAUCUGGAGGAAUACCGGUGGCGAAGGCGGCAUCCUGGACCGACACUGACGCUGAGGAGCGAAAGCCAGGGGGAGCAAACGGG